rnacentral:rRNA from 1 species
UACAGAGGUCUCAAGCGUUGUUCGGAUUCAUUGGGCGUAAAGGGCGCGUAGGCGGCGGGGUAAGUCGGGUGUGAAAUCUCAGGGCUCAACCCUGAAACUGCACUCGAUACUGCUCUGCUUGAGGACUGGAGAGGAGACUGGAAUUCACGGUGUAGCAGUGAAAUGCGUAGAGACCGGGAAGAACACCAGUGGCGAAGGCGGCUACCUGGACAGGUACUGACGCUGAAGCGCGAAAGCUAGGGGAGCAAACAGG